rnacentral:rRNA from 1 species
UACGGGGGGGGCAAGCGUUGUUCGGAAUUACUGGGCGUAAAGAGCUCGUAGGCGGCCAACUAAGUCAGACGUGAAAUCCCUCGGCUUAACCGGGGAACUGCGUCUGAUACUGGAUGGCUAGAGGUUGGGAGAGGGAUGCGGAAUUCCAGGUGUAGCGGUGAAAUGCGUAGAUAUCUGGAGGAACACCGGUGGCGAAGGCGGCAUCCUGGACCAAUUCUGACGCUGAGGAGCGAAAGCCAGGGGAGCAAACGGG